AACGCACAUUGCGCCCCUUGGUAUUCCGGGGGGCAUGCCUGUUCGAGCGUCAUUAUCACCCCUCAAGCUCAGCUUGGUGUUGGGGCCUGCCCGUCACAGGGCAGCCCUUAAAGGCAGUGGCGGCGCCAUCUGGCUCUCAGCGUAGUAAUACUUCUCGCUACAGAGUCCCGGUGGUGUCCUGCCAGAACCCCCCUUUUUUAUAAUGAUUGACCUCGGAUCAGGUAGGGAUACCCGCUGAACUUAA
rnacentral:misc_RNA from 1 species